AGCAGGCAGUGAGUCAUAGCCAGAGCAGCACCUUGGAUUACUGUCGCGUGUCUCCUGCAAAGGGUCCAAGUCCUAUUGCAGCUCUUCCGAACAUUCCACCCAGCAUCCUGGUCAGGGUGUGUGGAGGCGCGGAGGCCCCUGCGGAGGCUGUAGCCACAGCAGCUACAUCCUUGCUGCAUGUGGAGCUGAGAAGGAGAGGUACCAAGCAGACUGGCCCGUGACCGGAGUGGGGACCCUUCAGUUGGGCUUUAUCUCCCUGGAAACUGACACUGGUAUCUGUCAAGAUUUUAACCUGAGGUACAUGGUAGGAGGCCAUGAAUGCUCAGAAUCCAAUGCAAUUAUAUACAUGUGUAUUUGGAUCAAGUAUCACCACAUUCAGUUGGAAUGGGGAAGCAUUCUCUCUAACUGGAAAUAAUCUCACUUAUAUUAUGAUAUGAAUGUGCAUACCCUUCCACAGUCUAUGAGUUAAUAUGGAGAAGAAGCACCGCAGAUUAUUUCUUUUAAGGGCAAAACUGCAACCCCAAACCCACUUAUUUAUUGCAACUUCCCAAUACUGUAAUUAAACCUGAAUACUGUGGUUUUUUGUUUAAAAUAAAACAACUCUACCACAACAUCUUUGUAACAUCUUUUGUCUUCAAAGAAAAACACAAUAACAUGCAUGUCAUAGGUUCACCACCACUUCUAUAAUAUUUUAGGUUGGUUAGGGAAGGGAGGGCUGUAGUAUAUAAAAUGGUACAACUCAUCUCCCCUCGAUAGUGAAGAGCUGCUAAGUCUACCCAAUUCAGGGCAUAAGGACUAAAACAACACUUAGUUCAGUUUGAAAAGCUAAAGUCAGAUGAUCUCCUGGUAUCCCAAUGUCAAGCAUACUGUCUCUUAUUAGGGCCCGGGAAGGCUAUAAUGACUUAACAAGAGGGCAUAAUCUUGGUGUGAUAUUAGUUGUCUUGAUUACUUUUCUCCUAUUGCUGAGACAAAAUAUCUGACACCCAGAAUUAAGAAAGGAAAGGUUUAUUUAGCUCACAGUUUGUGGAGGUUUUAGUCCAUACACAGCUGGCUCCAAGGCAGAGUGGCACAUGGCAGAGGGCAACAGUUCAAGGUGGGAGAAGACAGCAAAAGCAACAAGAGCAGAAGAGAGAGGAGCAGCAGAGAGCAAGCCUCUUUCCCUGUGUGCAGGCUGCCCACCCCAGGUGGGUAUAGCACUCACACCCAUAAUCCAAGCAUUGGACCAUGGAACUCUAGAAGCCCGCCCCAUGACUGCUUGAGGCUUUGGGGGGACAUCUAGACACAAACCAUAACAGUAGUCUAGAGCUUGCCAUAGGCUUUUUCUUAUUUGAGGCCAGGCACAGACACUGUGGUCACCAUCUAAUCACCCAUCAUGUGGAGGUACCAAAUUAUGUUAUUCUGUUGCUCUGUUGAGGAACAUUUUUAUGGCUCUUCUCUGUUAUGCACAGGAGCUGCUCUGGGGUAUAUAACUAGAACUGGAGGCCACAAGACUUUAGUGUAACAAUCUGUUUAGAAUCUCACCUCUACCCCUUAUCAGGCCCAUGGUCCUGGGCAAAUUCAGUUCUCUGAUCCUUGAUUUCCUCAUGGAGAGAAAUGGAGACAAUAACAGAAGUUUUGGGUUAGCUUUCUGCCCCUGUGACAAAAUACCAGAG
ensembl:lincRNA